CAGUCGCCGCGGUAAUACGUAGGGUGCGAGCGUUAAUCGGAAUUACUGGGCGUAAAGCGUGCGCAGGCGGUUAUAUAAGACAGAUGUGAAAUCCCCGGGCUCAACCUGGGACCUGCAUUUGUGACUGUAUAGCUAGAGUACGGUAGAGGGGGAUGGAAUUCCGCGUGUAGCAGUGAAAUGCGUAGAUAUGCGGAGGAACACCGAUGGCGAAGGCAAUCCCCUGGACCCGUACUGACGCUCAUGUACGAAAGCGUGGGGAGCAAACAGGAUUAGAUACCCCAGUAGUCCCUGUCUCUUAUAC
rnacentral:rRNA from 1 species